UUCUGAUUGGCUAAUUCUUAAAGGUGAGGAUCACACCUGAUUUGAUAUCCACCGUUGAUAACAGUAAAAUCAACGGACAGAUUUAGUUCUCUCACUUCUCUACCUCUUAACAUUCUCUCAUCUUUCUCGAGAUUACAUUCUUUUUACGAGAUCUCUGGCUUCCCCUCCCUCUCUCUUAGCCAUGGCUGGCUUUCAUUUGUACCACUCGUCCUCCGGUUUCUCUCUUAGCCAUUGCUGGCUCUCUGCCAUAUAACUCUUCUUGUUCGAUUUUGUUUGAUUUACUUGGUUCUCGGUUUCUUAUGGGUUUGAUUCGUACUUGGGUUGAAUGAGUUUGAUAAGUGUUUUAUAAACUGAUUUCGUGUUUAUUGAUUGUAAGUAAAAUAUCAAAUUUUGAAACGCCUCUAUAAUCUCUCUUUCUCUCCCUCGCAAGUUCUUCUCCGAUUUGUGAUAGUCUUGCCUGCUUUUGUUUUUGUUGAAUCUCGAUUUGUUGUUGCCAUAAUCGAAGUUUUUGUUCUCAAUCUCCUGAGAUGUUAUGAAUCAUCUAGAUGCAGCCACUCACUGUUGAUAAUCUUCCCUUGAUUUGACAACCGCCGUCAUCGAAGCCCAACACAUGAUCGGAGUUCCACUUAACCAAAUCAUUCAAAAGUAAUUGACAAAGCCCAUGAAUUAACUAUCCAAUAAUUCCCUCUCGCCCAUCCUAUCUCUAAUUGCAUCCUGAUUUUAAAUAAAAUUCCAGCAGCUAGAAGGAGAGAUGCUCGUUCUGUGGAGAUGAAGAGACGCCAUUGGAAUUAAUAUUCAAUGUUUUAAGACUUAAUUCUAGACUUUAAUGGAAUUAAGAUUUGAAUUUUUUUGGAUUUAAUAAAUGCAAAUACCAUAUGUACUUUUACU